rnacentral:rRNA from 1 species
AGAGUUUGAUCAUGGCUCAGGACGAACGCUGGCGGCGUGCUUAACACAUGCAAGUCGAACGGAAAGCGCUUUUCGGAGUGACUCGAGUGGCGAACGGGUGAGUAACACGUGGGUGAUCUGCCCUGCACUUUGGGAUAAGCCUGGGAAACUGGGUCUAAUACCGGAUAGGACUACGAAUCGCAUGGUUUGUGGUGGAAAGCUUUUGCGGUGUGGGAUGGGCCCGCGGCCUAUCAGCUUGUUGGUGGGGUGAUGGCCUACCAAGGCGACGACGGGUAGCCGGCCUGAGAGGGUGUCCGGCCACACUGGGACUGAGAUACGGCCCAGACUCCUACGGGAGGCAGCAGUGGGGAAUAUUGCACAAUGGGCGCAAGCCUGAUGCAGCGACGCCGCGUGAGGGAUGACGGCCUUCGGGUUGUAAACCUCUUUCAACAGGGACGAAGCGUAAAGUGACGGUACCUGUAGAAGAAGCACCCGGCCAACUACGUGCCAGCAGCCGCGGUA